CAUUUCUGAAUUUAUGCAGUACAUCUCGACGGCAUCGUUCUCCCCUUGGUUAAAUUCAGUGAGUAAUUUCUGACUGUAUUCAUUGCCGGAGGAUAUAUUUCUUUAGAGUUAAAUAUCACUAGCUGUGCAUUUUGAUAUGAGGAAUGCAGGCUGCAAUUUAUAACCGACAAGACCGUCAGUGAAUCUGGGCUGCGGAGAAGCGGGGCGCAGGAAAUGUACGCCGGCUCCAGUGUUUAUUUUAGAAUUCAUUUGUGAGGAAACAUCAUUUCAAAUUCCACUGUCAAGUUCUCAUCCGGGAUUGCUCAUUCCUCCAGCAGACACCCAGGGGCGGGCGGAGGCCGGCCGGGCCGACACCCGCCAGCUCCUGUGCUCGCCGGCGGCGCACUCCCUCCCGUGGGCCGAGGGGCCCGGGCCUGGAUGGAGGGGCGGCCGCGGCGGCCGGGUGGGGUGGGCCCGAUGGCCGCGAGCCCCUGGACGUGCACAGGUCGGGCCAGGGGGCCCCGGGAGCUCGCGUCCCGGCCUCUGCUUUCUCGAACCCCCGCCCGCCCCUGCUCUGCCGUGGAGUCAUGCACACGAGAGCCUCGGGCCAAGAGCCAGCACCUUCCUGCCGAGGAACUGUGCUUCGUGAGGAGGAACCGCGGUCCCCGACGUCUCUGCGUCCCCGUCUGCCACGUGAGCCCCUCACCGUCCAGCCCCUGCGUCACAGACUUCCGGCUUACCCGCUAUCCGUGCAGUGCACGCCCGGGGCACACGCAGCACCUGCGCCCUGCCCUGGGUCUGCUGGAGCCCGAGGAGCAGCCUGCAGAACCUUCUGGCCUGGGGUGUAGGAAAUGUCCAGUCUCCAUGGCCGAUAAGCUGCCGGGCAACACUGUGUGGCUUUAACACGGGGUCGCCGUCGCUAGUCUUGCAGUUCGGGUCCCUGUUUGUGAAAAUAAACGCAAAUAGUUAGAACCAGGGACGCUGGCCCUGCACCCUCACCGGCCUCGCCCGGCCCCGCAGCCUGAGCGGGGGUGGUCUUCAGCCCUCCCAUCGUGCUGACGUACACGGGCAUGCCUCCGCCACUCCCCAGGUCCCCUACGUCAGCGCCAAUCGUAUCAUGCCAUCCACGUGUGUCUCUGACCGCUUGUGACUUCGCUGACACCCUGUGUGCAAGCCCCGAUGGUGCUCCGUCCCCUCUGUGGACCUGUGCUCCCCAGCUCAGCGAGUCCUGGGCAGCAGUGCACGCGCCCCGCUCUGAGGCCGCAGGUGCUGGGUGCGGCGGUGACGGCAGGAGCCCUGCUGGCUUCCCCGGGUGCUGAGCUGGGCGUGGAGUCAACACGAGUGUGCAAGAUGAGCAAAGCCCCCUGCAAGCAGGAGCUUAUGUUCACGUGCGUGGUGUGCUGUGUGCACCAUAUGUGCUGUGGUGUGUGUGUGGGUGUGUGCGUCUAACCACAGACAACAAGCUAGUAAAUAAGUGCACAAGCAAGAUCAGCCCUAAGUGCGGUGUCUGCAGAGGGAGCACCAACGCCGGGCCGUGGGGUGGGGGGCUCCAGGAGGGGAAUGUGGGGGCGACACCGGGUGCCCAGGACGAUCCCUCCCAGUGGGUGUCGUGUAAGCUGGAGAUGCUUUGUCCUCAGGAGCGUGCAAACGGUGUGGAGGCUCUCAAAGCUGCCGGCUGCACGUCCAGGGCUGGGGACUGGGAACAGGUACCAGCAGGUGCACAGGGAUGAUGGGGACCAGACUUGGUGGCUCCGCUGAUGCUGCCUGAGCAGAGCAGAUCACAGAAGGCCCCGUCUAGGUCCUGCUGGGGCCCCGGGCAUUCCUGGGGAGCCCGUCCCGGCUGGGGUGCUGAAGCCACAGCUGACACCUGGGGUGACCACCAGAGCCAGGCCCACGCUCAGCUACGCCAGCGACGGAGACCGCUGUUUGAGGGCAGAUGUGCUCCCCGUGUCCCAGGCCGCUGCUCCAACAAGGGCCCCGGGGUCUGCUGGAGGCCCCAUCUGCCAGAUGGCAGCAACACCAUGCCAGGUGGGCUGUCCCCUGCUCCAUCAGCCGGGGAGGCGGGGAAAUGGAGGCUGAAGGUUGGAGCGCGAUGUGCUGUUGCAUUGACCAGGUCCAGGGGAGGGUCGCGUCUACACUCGUGAGAGACACUGGUCUGUAGCUUUCCUUUCUCAUACUGUCUGGCUGGUGUUGAUAUCAAGGUCACGCGGACCUCAUGGAAUGGGUUGGAAAUAUUUCCUCUGCUUCUAAUUUCUGGUAGGGAUGUGAAGAAUUGGCAAUUUUUUUUAAAGAUUUUAUUUAUUCAUGAGAGACACAGAGAGAGAGAGGCAGAGACACAGGCAGAGGGAGAAGCAGGCUCCAUGCAG